rnacentral:rRNA from 1 species
GACGAACCGUGCGAACGUUGUUCGGAAUCACUGGGCUUAAAGGGCGCGUAGGCGGACCCCCAAGUCCGGGGUGAAAUCCUCCGGCUUAACCGGAGAAUUGCCUGGGAUACUGGGGGUCUUGAGGGAGGUAGGGGCACGCGGAACUUCCGGUGGAGCGGUGAAAUGCGUUGAUAUCGGAAGGAACGCCGGUGGCGAAAGCGGCGUGCUGGCCCUCUUCUGACGCUGAGGCGCGAAAGCCAGGGGAGCGAACGGG